rnacentral:tRNA from 1 species
GUAAACUAUGCGGCUUUGUUCAUAACCUCAGAAUAAAAUUCCUAAUCUGAGGGUCGCAGGUUCGAAUCCUGCCGGGGACGCCA